UGCACUUUUUCUAAAAGUCAGUUCCAAGUAUCUGUUAGAUCCUGUAGGAUGGAGAAUGAUGGGACAGGGGAGUGACCUACACUUGGUGAAGCAUACUGUUGGCAGGAGCCUGAGCUCAGAGCAGUCCUGCAUGUGAGUGUCAUUGUACAGUUGAAAAGAUGGAGGCCCAUAGAGGUGGGGACACCUGUUUCCAGCAACACAGCAGAUAUACUGAGCCCAGGUCAGUCUGAGGCUUACCCUCAGACUGAUGCUUUUCACUUUGAGAAACAGUUGGGACACAGUGCAGAGAGCACUGAGUCAAGAGUCCUCCGCCCCAGCUCACCAGCUCCAUUCAGAGCAGCAGACAAGUCCCUCAGUGUCCUCCGAGCCUCAGCCUCCUCCCUCCGCAACGGAGAUCAUGAGUCUCCCCAUGCAGGCUUGGGGCAAGGCGUAAGUGAGAUGACACAGGCAGUGCACGUUAGUGAUUGCAGAGCCAUAUAUGUGUAAGAAUUAUUUCACCCUUUUAAUUCUUCACAGGAGUAGAGACAGCCUGUUCUGCGUUGAAAGCCCUUAGGAUGAAAAAUAAUUGAACAGAGAGUGGAAAUAGUAUGGAAAUGGCAUGGCCCUACAGUUAGAGGCAUAGUUAGCAAUAAAAUGUUGGGCUAGACCUCAGCAAAUGUGUCUGAAGGCACAUAACAUCCUAGCAGCAUUGACCUAAUGAGGUCAGGAGACGAAGGAAGUGCUCAGUGGGGAAGAUGUUAUUUUGAUGGAAUGCUUCUGGGGUGCCAGCCUGCCCCAGGAAGGGCCAGCCUGGUGGAGCUGUGGAUUGCCUCACUGCAGCCAGGGCUAUUCUUUAAAAGAGGCACUUUGCAGCUCAUCUUGCAGGGCUCCUCAUUCUGUCACGUGAUGGCAGGAUGGGGCCAUUUUUGGCACUCCCUUUUGAGAGGCUCAGUUCCUAGGGACCAGUUGGCCUGGCUGCCUCUGCCCUCAUUUUCCUUUGCCUAGUUCUAUUUCAUUGAACAUUCUGUAUUUCUAGAAGUGACCUUAAAUCCUUUGUGUAAAGAGGGUGGAGUAUGCAUAUUUUGUUACUUAAUACUAUUUAAUUAAUUUAAUCUUUAAAAACAGUAGCAGUUGACUUGUCAUUACAAGCAGGUACUUAGAGUAAGAGUAAGCAGGAACGCCAGUGAAGGGGACCCUUUCUGGGCUGCUGAUUCCCCCAGGACUGUGGGAUCUGGGUCACCAGCAAUGCCUGCUGUCUUCCCAGGUGCUACUUCAGCUUUAAAAAUUAGUAAUGUUGUGACCUCUUAAAAGGUAGUGUGUCCUGGAGUGUGCCCAUUAUUCUAGUCUAGUGAAACAGAGUGCUGGGGCCAGCAGGCAGUGUGCAGUGAGCUGAACUAAGCAGGAGCUGUUUGUCCGCAGGUUCGUUGCCCCAGGUUUCCCACCCACGAUGACAUACCCUGUGACCCUCAAAGCCUUUGUAGUAGAAGCUGCCUCUUUCUGAAUGUCAUGUGCUUUAUGAGAAAGGUGUUAUUUUAACCCUCAUAGUAUUACGUUUAGCCAGUAUUAAGGUUAUUAGGUAUUUAUAUGUCGUAUUUAGUAAAUGCUUUUUUUAAAUUCAUAAAUAUGAAUUAAAUAUGCUUUUCUACAUCCAAGGAAGAGAAAACAUUCACUUCGAUCAGCACUUAUUGCACAGAUUUUAGUUUUAUGCUUCUAUCAUGUGCCAGGCUCCAGACGGUACCACACGAGCAGACACCUACAUGAAGUGAAGGGGCCAGCUCUGUGAUGAUCUGGGGACAGAGUGUUCCUGAUAGAGUAAACAGCAAGUGCAGGGAGCCUGAGGCUGGAAGAGCUGGGCGGGUGUGAGCCGCAAUAAGACCAGGGUAUGGCUGGGCUGGAGCAGUGAGGGAGGGAACAGGCCUGGUGCCCAGGACACAGCAGCCCUCAGAGAAUGGUAGCUGGCACAGGUGGCAGCAGUGGUGGCAGCAUUAGAGAAAGAAGAGGAAGAAAUGGAAGAAGAGCAAGACGCAGAGAUGCAAGUAGUUUGGGUGCCAUAUUUGGGGGCAUAAGUCAGAAGAGGGGCAGCCUGACACAGCCUGGGGCACAGGUGGCAGAUCAGGGAAGGCCAUGCAGAGAAAGGGACCCAAAGGGUGUGUAGGAGCAAGUCGGGCAGCAGCUGGUGCCAAACGGCCCCUCGGGCGGUGAAACCAGCCUACGCAGUGUGAGGUGGCGGACAGCUUGGCACGUUGGGGCCCUCAAAGUUAGUUCACAGGCUGGAGCACAGAGUGGAAAACUGGGUGGGAACUAGGUGAUCUGAGGCGUCGAAUACCCAGCCAGGGAGUGUGGACUCCAGGCAUGAAGGCAGCGAGAGAGCCAGGGAGUGAAAGGGAUGUAAAGAUGAAGGUCUCUGACAGCUGUUGUGUGGACAAUGGAUUGGAAGCCGGUGGCAGCUAGUGGUGGUAUUAUUAGGAUAGUGAUCCAGAGGAGGGACUUCACUUGGAAUCAGAAUCCACGUCCUUAUAAUGCCCCACAAGACCUGAGUGCCCUUCCUCCAACCCUUACCUGCCUCACUCACCUUCUGCCUCCUCAUGUUCACUCACUCUGCUUCAGCCACGAUGCUCCUAGCUCUUCCUUCCAUGCUCGGGCACUGUGCUGCCUCAGGGCCUUUGCACGACUGGUUUCUGUCUCUGGAAGCUUGUUCCCACAGAUAGCUUUAUGGCCAGUCCUCUUACCUCCUUUAAGUCUUUGCUCAAAUGUCACUUUCUUAAUAAGACCUACUCAGAACAUUCCAGUUAAAAUGACCAGGUGUUCCUCCUUCCACCUUGGUCUCCCACAGCCCCCUCAGCCUAAUCUUCUCUUUGCCAUAGCAUCUGUUACUUUCUAACCCAGAAACACACACACACACACACACACACACACACACAUACACACACACAUUUAUAGUGUUCAUUGUGUACUGCCUGCUUCCCCAGGCUAGAAUAUAACCUCCCUGAGGGCAGAGACUUUUGUUUUUAUUGACUGCUGCUGCAUCCCAAGUGCCUAGGACAGUGACUGGCAUAUAGUGGUGAGGUAUGAUUAAAUGUUUGUUGAAUGACUAAAUGAGAACGGCUGGAAUUCAGAAAGUGGCAGCAGAGAUGGAGAGAGUGGGUAGGUCUUGGAGACGGUUACAAGGUGGGAUCAACAGGACUUGGUGGUCUGUUGGUCAGGGGUAAAAAAGACAGGCAGGAUGGGGCCCAGGUUUCUCACUGGUGUCUGGCUAGUGGUGGUGCCCCUGCCUAGAAUA